rnacentral:misc_RNA from 1 species
GAUGAAGAACGCAGCGAAAUGCGAUACGUAAUGUGAAUUGCAGAUUUCAGUGAAUCAUCGAAUCUUUGAACGCACAUUGCGCCCGCUAGUAUUCUGGCGGGCAUGCCUGUUCGAGCGUCAUUUCAACCAUCAAGCCCUGUGCUUGUGUUGGAGCCCUGCGGCUGCCGCAGGCUCCCAAACCCAGUGGCGGGCUCGUCGUCGUACCGAGUGCAGUAAACAUACCACGCUCAGGGCACGCGACGGGUGACCGGCCGUAAAACCCCCCCCUUCUCAAGGUUGACCUCGGGUCAGGUAGGAAUACCCGCUGAACUUAAGCAUAUCAAUAAGCGGAGGA